CCGACCUACGGGGCGCAGCAGUGAGGAAUAUUGGUCAAUGGGCGAGAGCCUGAACCAGCCAAGUCGCGUGAGGGAAGACGGUCCUAUGGAUUGUAAACCUCUUUUGCCGGGGAGCAAAAAGCGGUACGUGUACCGCAUCGAGAGUACCCGGAGAAAAAGCAUCGGCUAACUCCGUGCCAGCAGCCGCGGUAAUACGGAGGAUGCGAGCGUUAUCCGGCUUUAUUGGGUUUAAAGGGUGCGCAGGCGGCGCGUUAAGUCAGCGGUAAAAUUUCGGGGCUAAACCCCGACGAGCGGUUGA
rnacentral:rRNA from 1 species